UUCAAAAACAUUACGCACAGCACCGCGGCCGGACCACGCUCGAUUACUCGACUGAAAUAACCUUUUUUUUUUCGCACAUCCUUGGAGAGCGGACGCAGUGCGGACGAUCCCACCAUUGCAGAUGGGGGCGCACUGAAUCUACACAGUUGGAGCCUCAGAUUUUCUCCAUCACGUCAAGCCUGUGAUCACAAAGCCCAGAAUCUCAUAACCCCUAACAAAACUAAAGCUGUGGAAGAGGAGCAUCUUGAAGGAGAAUCAUUUUUGCUGAUCACCAUCACCCUGCUCUACGCUUUUAGCCUCUUUACGGUGCUGCCUUGUCUAAUAAUGUUCAAGCAGCAUUGUACAGGGCUAUGACAGCAUAGAGAGCUGAUCUGCGCUUCCUCAAUAGACCCAACAUUUGCUGCCAACCAGAGCCGGCCAGGAGCAGAAGCGAAAUCAGCCGCUGCUGCCCCUAAAACCGUUUUACUUGUAAUACAGAUGAUAAGAAUCAGUUUAUUUGUAAAAACGUGAGUCUGCUUGAAAUUCAGGCGAUAGUUGUCCCUUUGUAAAUGAAGUAUCUUAAUGUCUGUAAACCUUCUUUGAUGACCAAAACUGUAUUCCCCCCCCCCCCCCCCC